ACGAACGCUGGCGGCGCGCCUAACACAUGCAAGUCGAACGAGCGAGAGAGAGCUUGCUUUCUUGAGCGCGUGGCGAACGGGUGAGUAACGCGUGAGGAACCUGCCUCAAAGAGGGGGACAACAGUUGGAAACGACUGCUAAUACCGCAUAAGCCCACGGUGCCGCAUGGCACAGAGGGAAAAGGAGCAAUCCGCUUUGAGAUGGCCUCGCGUCCGAUUAGCUAGUUGGUGAGGUAACGGCCCACCAAGGCGACGAUCGGUAGCGGACUGAGAGGUUGAACGGCCACAUUGGGACUGAGACACGGCCCAGACUCCUACGGGAGGCAGCAGUGGGGAAUAUUGCACAAUGGGGGAAACCCUGAUGCAGCGACGCCGCGUGGAGGAAGAAGGUCUUCGGAUUGUAAACUCCUGUUGUUGGGAAAGAUAAUGACGGUACCCAACAAGGAAGUGACGGCUAACUACGUG
rnacentral:rRNA from 1 species